UACCCCUCAGAGGGCCCAAAGCAACCUCGGGCAGCUGUGAGGGCUCUCCCCUCUCCAGUGGUCCUGGCCCUGCUGAGGGCAGGUGCCUCCCGAGCCUGACUUCCACACUGUCCUGGUGUUUCGGUUCCAGGGACAAUGACUCAGCAGCUUCUUUUGUACCAGGAAGUCUGUUUUCCCUUUGUUUCUUGUUUUCUGAUGAACUUCAAAGCUGCCUUAGGGUACUUAUAAGAAAGAGAAUUGAAAGCUAGUGAAAGUUCAAACAAAGGUGACUGAAGUGAUUCAAAGUGAAAAAUCCUCUGAGUCAGAGAUUAGCAGGAUGUUCCCCGGUGUUCUGUGUGCCACACACAGCUUCAACCAGGCCUGGGCCCCAAGGCCCAAUCUGACCUUGCUCUGCCACGUCCAGCUGUUACGACUCUCCACAACCUGCCCUAGGUCCUCUAACUACUUUGCCAGAUUUACUCUACAAGAAACACUAACUUUGGCACCUAGCAGAGCAGGUAUCCAGCAACUUUCAGAGCACAUAGUGUGAAAAACAAUAGGAAAAGAAUUUGUAUAUAGUGACUGCACCUUGAGAAAAUGAGUAAAAUCUAAGAACUCUCUGUAAUUAGAAGUGAAAACCCUGAAACAAGAACCAGGUAUUACAGAGGAGGCUGCAUAGGGCAAGGCCCAUGGCACACACCAGGGAAUUUCUUUCUUGAAAGAAAUGGCAUCAAAACAAAAAUAAUGCCCUCAGUUGCCCUGGGAGGGGCGGUUAGAGAACACAGCACAGAGAAGAAACUCCUGUCUAAUGCUGGUUUCUACCUCACGUGAACUUGGUAUGUUUUGUGUAACACAGCAGUCUGCGUCUCUCUCACUGCAGCUGCUCUCUGAUGGUCUCAACAAAGCCCUUUAUUCUCCUAUAAAGCCUCCACGGUAAGGAAAAUACUUGCAUGACGUUCUACACAGCACCUGGCCUGCAGUAGACACUGCUAUAGUUAAAACCGUCUGGCAGAAUCAAUUGAAUAAGCUCAAUGGAUCUUCAGUGAUCAGUGAAUUGUCUUAACCAGGCUUACUUGUGUCAGCUUAUGUUUCAUAUUCUAUUAUUCUCAAAACACAGUCACAUAAUUCUGCCUGAAAGCACAGGGAUCUAACGUUCUGGAUAACCUAAGAAAGCCAGUGCUGCAGGUGAGCCAUUUCCACAUGGAUUUUCAAAAUGUUGAAAUGAUGAAUAGAUUUCUGACAUUACUUUUGAGGAUCUCAAAUAUCCUGGAAACUCGGGUGUGAAGUGUCUCCUUUAGCAGGUGUAUUAUUCUUAACAAAUGGACUCCCUGAAGCAGCCCCCAGCUCCUUCCACGGUGGCCUCACAAGCACUUCACCUCGCUGUUGGUGCCUUACCAGGUCUGCAGUGGGUUCCUGCUGCCUCUUCAUGCACCUCCCCCACUGUCUUUCCCCCACUUCUAUCCACAGGAGAUGUAAAGUGCAUGUAACUUAAAGGCUUGCAAAGGACAAGGUUGAUUGUUGAGAGGCUUUGCCAUUCAUGACAAACCCUUGCAAGAGGGGGUGAGUCACACAGAGCUUAGCAAAUACCAAUCAGAGUCUGAUCAGAAAGCAGCAUUGGGGUUUUUAAGACAGCUUUUCUGUAAAUUUCUUUAGCAGAGGAAUUUGUUUUUUCCUGACUAUUAGAGAGCUAUAAGACACAUCGACUCUCAGCCCUGCCACUGCUUUCUUCACAACAGAGCCAAAUAGACCUGAGGUCCCACAUAGGUCAACAUCCUUAAUUUAAAAAUGGAGAAAUUAAGCCCAGUAAAAGUUAACUAGCCUGCACAAAGCCACCCAGUUGGUUAGAGCUGGCAGUAUAACUAGGGGGGCCAUACAGAUCAUCCUCCAAACUAAGAUAAUUUUGAGAGUGGAGGCCAAUGUUAGUAAUCAUGCCAGGGUCAGGUAUGGUGGCUCACAGGUGUAAUUCCAGCACACUGGGAGGCCAAGGUGGGCUAAUCAACUGAGGAGUUU